UAGGGGAUCUUCGGCAAUGGACGAAAGUCUGACCGAGCAACGCCGCGUGAGUGAAGAAGGUUUUCGGAUCGUAAAACUCUGUUGGUAGAGAAGAACGUUGGUGAGAGUGGAAAGCUCAUCAAGUGACGGUAACUACCCAGAAAGGGACGGCUAACUACGUGCCAG
rnacentral:rRNA from 1 species